rnacentral:rRNA from 1 species
UACGGCGGCCAUAGCGGCGGGGCUACACCCGGUCUCGUUUCGACCCCGGAAGUUAAGCCCGCCAGCGAUCCCGGGUGUACUGCCCUCCGAGAGGGGGC